rnacentral:tRNA from 1 species
GGCCCCAUCGUCUAUCGGCUAGGAUAACAGGUUUUCAUCCUGUAGAGCGGGGUUCGAUUCCCCGUGGGGUCA